GCAACAGGCGGUGGGGUGCGACCCCCCUGCUGCAGGAGCCACCAUGGGUGCACUGCCUGAUGCCCAUUUCACUCCCCUCUGGUCACAGGCAUUCACUCUUGCGACAGCUGGACUUCUUGAGCGCCUACAAAUCCCCUUACCAGGAACCGGGGAUACAGAAAUCCAAAGUUGAGGUCUCUGCCUUCAGCGGGAGUCCAGCCUGGUUUAGAGUAAGACACAGAAACAAACAAAAAACUGUAUCAUCUCAACAGGUGACCUCAGAGUUCUUCCUCAGGAAGGCAUUGGCUUUAUUUAGGAAAGAUCUGGAUAAACUUCUGGAGCACGACAAUUUGGUUCACGAGGGCAUAGAUGUUGUCAGAGACAGGAAUUGGUGGUUGGAGUUACUGAAAGAGAGGGGAAGAGAAGGCAGGACGUGCACAGGUGGCCCAGCUGUGAGAAAGCCUGGCUGGAGGACUGCUUUGAAGAGAGAUAUGGAUUUUUAAGUGCUUUGCUUUUAAAAGUACCUCUGGCGACCCAUACAGCUUGAGUAAACAUUCUGUGGCUCCCAGCAGAAUUCUGUUCACUGUUACCACGGAAGAAGUGAUCAAAGAGAAGGGGCUUUGCUGGGUACAUGCCAGGGCAGAGGUCAAGGAAAAGCCACGGAUAGGGUCAAAGAACAGCUUGACAAAGGCUGAAAACUGGCACAAAGGCAACCUUGAGAACACAAGCCCCCUGCCCCCAAAAUUCAGAGAAACUUCGGGCAGGACACUGACUCCGUCUGAGAAGCUGCGUGGUGGGAUCUGAAUGGGUCCUAUCCAGAUCUGAAGGGUGGGGAGCACCCACUGACUCCUGGCUGUCUGGUGACAAAAGUGAGGGGAGGAGCUUCCAGUUUUACCUGGGAGGCAGGGAAAGGUGCCCAGAGGAGGUGAUGCCAAGCAAACUCCCACAGGAGGAGACAGGAGGAGGUGCUGAUGAGAGGGCUCCAGCCAAGCAAAGGGAGCAAGGGCCCAUCUGCCCAUCGGGUGUCAAACCUCUGAACAUGGAGAAGUUUUUAUUUAGUGAGGUGUGGGGCAAAUGUGGAAAACCUCAGACAUGACAUUCCAGCUUCAGAAAAAAAAUACAUUUUUUUCUCAAAUUCAAAUCUCACACCAGGAUGGCCUUGUCUACCUUCAAAAGUGGUGCCAUAUCCAGACAUAGAUGAUGGCUAGAUGGAUAGACAGACACCAAAAAGAAACCCAUUACCCUCUCUCAAGAAGAUUGUCUGAGAGCGUAUUCUCAGAGCAGCCUCUGAUGCUGGGCGUGGCAGAGCUCACAGAAGGACUAAACUUUUCAAAAUUCACACUGUGCUAUCUGGCCUGCUGAGUCAGUUUGCAAAGCACUUGUGUUGAUAGUAUCUGGCUUGCCUCCUUAUUUCAGGGAGACAAAAACCUACUUCUUGUCCCUGGCAGUGCACAACCCCUCCUUCAGCAAGUUUCCCGGCCUGUGGUGGCUGCCCCAAGGUGCUUUGCCAGCUUCCCUGUGUCUGUUCUGCCUCAGUCAUCUCAGGGUGCAGGCAAAGCCAGCCCUUCUACCUGGCAGUGCUGAACUAGGAAAAAGUUUGCUCAACAAUACUGAGCAGCCCGCCCCAUGGAUGGGUGCAUUGAAUGUGUCUGCACUUGUCAGGUACAUCUGGCUUCUGCGUUCAGGACAAUUACAGGGCACUCUGCAAAAUUACUUACUGAGUUGGAGGGCCUGAGAGCACUUCCGUUGUGACAGUGGAGGCGGGCACUGGGAAAGGCUGCCCUUUAAAGGGUGAUGGAGGUGCUAACGGAGAGCCCGGCUCCCAGGCUCACUCACGCCUUCCAGGGCAUGUGGGUGGACGUGGUAGUCAGCAAAAAGCAAGGGCUUCUCCCAGCGCAUGGGUAUGGGGCUGGAAGAGGGAAGGGCACAGGGGCCCUCUGGCUCUGGUCCUACCAGCUGGUUGGGAAAGGCUUCUCAUGAGCGCUUCACACACAAAGCAAGACUGAUGGAUGUUACGAGGAGCCACCUUGCAUGCCGGUGUCUGUUGAAGGAAUGAACGUGUGGACAGCGUGGGUGCAUAGAUCCAGUCUUCCUCACUGGCUAUGGUGUUCUCACUGAUCCACAUGCUCCCUCUGUUCUUACAGGUCAUUGCUUGGGAAAAAGAAAACAAAAGAGGAGGAGGAGGAGGAGAAAGUAUAGAAACAAGAAAUAGAAGCAGGAGCAUAAGCAAAUGAAGAGGAACUAGAUGAUGGUGAUGAGAAAAAGAAAAAACAGACUGGAAGAAAGUAGGAAAAACAGGUGCUGCUGCUUCUUGGCCUUCUUCACCCUCUGACUGCGCACUGUACUCAGAGCAUCCAGCAGUGCAAGGAUCUGACAGGGACAAAACCUGGCGAGCAUCAGAAUAUUCUCACAGACACCGCACACUCCCAUCCAGGCAUGUCAGCUGAUGGAAUCCAAGAUAGACGCAACCCAGGAUCCAAAUGAAUGUUAACGCCUUGAAAAUGCAUCCCAAGCUAGGAAAUCAUUGUUGGCAUGGAGAUACAGGUGUGAGCACAUUUACCUUUACCACAAAACCACCUCUGUUCAUCACUCUAUGGGCUCUGUGUGCCACUAACCAGGACGAAGGGUUCCCCAGCCAUGCCUAUGACUCCACAUUAAAAUGCACAGGGCAGAACACGGCCAAGCAAAGGACUGGAAAUAGACUCCAGCCCUGCCUCUAACCUAUAGUUCUAGUGCCGUGAAUAACUCUGGCCUCAUCCCCUCCUGAUCAAAACUGAGUAACAGUAGAAAUGCAAAGUGUGCUGCCAAGAGUGUUAUUUUCCUAUCUAAACGGCAGUCAAUUGGC